rnacentral:rRNA from 1 species
ACGGGGUGCAGCAGGCGCGAAAUCUUCACAAUGCGCGCAAGCGUGAUGAGGGAAUCCCAGGUGCCCUUGCACUGCAAGGGCUUUUUUAGAGUGUAAAGAGCUCUACGAAUAAGGGCUGGGCAAGACCAGUGCCAGCCUCCGCGGUAACACUGGCAGCUCGAGUGGUGGUCGUUUUUAUUGGGCUUAAAGCAUCCGUAGCCUGUUUAGUAAGUCCCCUGUGAAAUCCUGCCGCUCAACGGUAGGGCUUGCGGAGGAUACUACUAGGCUAGGAGCCGGGAUAGGUCAGGGGUAUUCCUGGGGUAGCGGUGAAAUGCGACAAUCUCAGGAAGACCACCGAUGGCGAAGGCACCUGACUGGAACGGGCUCGACGGUGAGGGAUGAAAGCUAGGGGAGCAAACCGGAUUAGAUACCCGGGUAGUCCUAGCCGUAAACGAUGCGGACUGAGUGUUUCUUGAACUUCAUGUUCAAGAAGUGUUGAAGGGAAACCGUUAAGUCCGCCGCCUGGGAGUACGUCGCAAGAC